rnacentral:lncRNA from 1 species
UACUAUGCUGUGCUGUACUAUAUUUUAUUGUACUGUACUAUACUGUAUUUUAUUGUACUGUUCUGUAUUAUACUGUUGGGUACUGUACAGCCACUCCUUGACUUACGAGAGGGUUAGGGACCCAAAUCCAGGUCGAAAAUGCUAAGAUACGUAGAAAAUCUAAAAUGGGUGUCUCUUUUUCUUCUCAGCACCACAAAACUCUCAUUUUUAAGCAUGCCAACCAUUUUGAAGGGAAUUACAAACGAAAAUUUUGUCAGUACACAGCGCAAUCACUAAAGUCGGGACUCGAAAAUACGUAAUUUGAAAAAAAAUUUGGUACGACCGAGGCGGUUGUAUGUCCAGUAGGUCGUAAUUCGAGGAGUAGCUGUAUAUUGUAGCCUUGAAGUGUACCAACUAUAUAGUCCUUGGUACCAGAAUUGUGCAUUUUAUGUACCAAGGCUAUAUAGUCUUGCAUGCCUAGAAGUGCUCAUUUUGUGUACCUACAGUAGACUGUAUAGCCUUGGUGCACUUUUACUAAUACUACUUUUUUUCUUCACCUUUAUAGUUUUUUGUUUCACUUCAGUUAAUUAAAUUAUUAUUAUUAAAGUAGUUUUGAAGAAGAUUACAGGGGGCCCCCAAUUUACGAACAGGUUCCGUUCCUUAUGACAUUCUUUUUCGGAUUUGUACUUAAGUCGGAACACGGCUGCGCCAUGAGCAUACCAUACUUACAGAACAAUGUUUAAAAUCACACUAUAUCAUAGCCUAAGUCCUUGUAUACAUCUAAAAUCAAUUAAUUUAAGACAAAAGAGAAAUAGAUUGACAAUACAGUAAAUGAAAGUAAAGAAUAUCAUUUGAUGAUAUAUUGUAAAUUUCAUGUUUAACACCGUUCAUAUCGGCGGGGACUCCCUGUAAUUUCUACAAGUUUUAAUUUUUACAUAGUAACAGUGCAGUAUUUUGUCUUAAGUAAUAUUUUCAUAUACUUUCUCCCCCACUGGCUAAAAUGGACCUGAAUUGAGCUGGACCUGCAGUGAACUAGACCUGAAGUGAACUGGACUGUAAUUACUAUCUGGUAUUUUAUUUAAUAUUUUCUGGUACUUUUAAUAUUAGAAAGGUUCUACAGACAUCCCUCAGUUUAUAAAAGUUUUGUUCCUGAGAAACCUUUAGUAAAUCACAUCAAUACUUCCAUAGGCUCCCAUUAUAAAAGCCAAGAUACUUUUCUGCGAUGAAAAUACUUCCCCCAAAUGAUGUACUGUACACAAUGAUUAUAAGCCACUAUAGGAGGAGUUCUACUGAUGAAUGAGUUAUGUUCUGGAGGUUUAUUUGUGAGUCCAACUUUACUCUUGUAGAUGUACAGUACAGUGGCCUGUAAGUUGACCUUUGAAGCUCCAAUUUGUUUUCUUAAAACUAAGAGUCGUCUUAUACAACGGGUAUACAAUGUCGAUCUCUAAAUACGCUCCACCGCUAGCACCAGAUUUUCACUUUGCUGUACCGGCAGGUCUCGGUCACAUAAUUUCCAGCACUCGUAAAUAAGUUUUACCUAACUGUAGCAUUUUUCCAGAAGAGUAAAUGUUACUGAACUC